UGUUAAAAUUAAACAUCGAAGUAUUAAUUAUACAAUGAAUUUUUUUUAUCAAACAUCGUUUUUAAAAAUUAUAAACCAAAAGACAUCAAAAUAUAAAAAAUGGAACAGCAAAAGAUAAAAACAAGAAAAAAAAAAUCUAUUGAGCAGAGUAACUAUCAGAAAAAGGAAAACUAUAAGCCAAUCAACACAAAUCACCCGGAUCACCCUCUGAACCGUAGGAUGCAAUUAAAUGAACGGAUGAGAUGUUUUAACUUUUUUUCCCUUUUUUUUUCUUUCUCUCUUAUCCUCACAGAUCUCUUUCUCUCCAUCCAUCGACAAUUUUUUCUUCCACCUUCUCUUCUCUGUUUUCAGAAUUUAUUUCCACCAUCUUUGUUCUUCAUCAUCUCGCAACACAAACACUGCUCUCUGUCUAUUUCCACCAUCUCUGUUCUUCUUCUUCUAUGUCUCACUCUAAUAAUCUCCUCUCUCACUCACAACAGAUCUCACAAACAGAAGAAAUAGGUAUUGACCAGUCAAGAUCUGCGUUGCUUCACCUCUUCACCACUACCACAGAUUUAUUAAGAAGCAGGGAAGGUGAAGCAGUGGUGUGACAUAGCGGUGUCUCCGGUCAAGCGUGGUGUAGCGGUGGUUCAAACCGGUGGUGGCCGUGCGGUGGAGACGCGAGCAGAGUGCGGCUGAGACGCGAGCAGAGUGCGGCUGAGACUGAAGAAGUUAAUUAGGUUUAGUUAGGGUUAAUUAGGUUUAGUUAGGGUUAACUAGUAAACCAUUUUGUAAUUGUAAACCGAUUUGUAAUCGUAAACUGAUUUGUAAUCGUAAACCAUGUAAACCAAAAUUCAAUUUAUAAAAAUAUCAAUUUAUUAAAA